rnacentral:lncRNA from 1 species
GUGGCAUUUGCUUCUCCUUUGGGACUUCUGUGGCAGGGUGUGGAACCAAAUCAGAUUGGUUGCAUAUCUGUUUCUCUUCCUGAAAAUACAAUUCAAAUACCUUCAUAGUCUGUGACAGCAACUUAUAACCAACAGACAAUGGUAUUAUUUUUAUUUAUUGAUGGCACUCCCCCAUAGCCAGAACUUCUACUGAGUCAUUCAUCGUGUAUUCCAGGAAUACUUUCCAAAUGGAGUAGUGAGGCACUUCCAAUAACAGUUAUGUAAUCUGUUAACAGUGGCUCAAAAUGACAUGUGAAGGAAUGAUGUACUUCUUUUUUCAGACUCACAGAUCUCAUAUGUUAAUUCAGUCAACAAGUACUUAGGGCUUAUCACAUGCCAGGCACAGGUAAUAUGACAAUAAUGAAAACAAAAACCCUUGCUGUCAUAGAAUUCGGUUUCUAGUGGGAAGAGACAUACAUUAACAAAUCAUAUAUAAGUAAAACAUUAAUUAUGGUGAUAACAGAAAAAGAAAGCAGGGGAGAGGGAUAGUGUCUUAGUUCAGGUUGCUGUAACAAGAGUACCAUAGACAGGGUGGCUUAAACAACAAACAUUUCUUUCUCACAGAUCUAGUGGCUGGGAAGUCUAAGACCAGGGUGCCAGCAUGAAGAAGUUCUGGUGAAGGCUUACAUUCUGGUUUCCUCACAGUGAGGGCUCUUCACGCCCUUAUAAAUGCACUAAUUCUAUUACCCACAUGACCUCAUCUAAAACUAACUCACAAAGGCCAAACCUCCUAUGUUGAGAUUAAGGCUUCAACAUAGGAAUUUUGGGGGGACAAAAACAUUCAGUCUCUAGCAGAUAGGGGCCACUGUGGGAGGGGAUUACAAUCUUAAAUAGGGUUGUCAGGGAAGGCUUCAUGAGGGCAAAGACCUGAGGAGGCAUGGAAAUGAUCCACGCAGAUGCAUGUCUGGGGAAGAGCAUUCCAGGCAGAGGCAGUGGGAAUGGACCCUCAGGUAAGAGCAUGUUUAGCAAGUUCAGAGAAAAGCCUCUUAGGUCAGGUCUGGAGCGAGAGUGGAAAAUGUAACAGGACAGAUCAUGUAAAGACUUGUAGACCACAGUUAGAGGCUUGGACAAUAACUCUGAGGAUGACAUGAAGGUAUUGGGAGGGGGUGUUGAGCAGAGGAGUGAUAUGAUCUGGUUUAUAUUUUAGAUUAUUCUGACUGCUAUGUUGAAAAUAGGGUUGAGAGCAGAGGGGAAGGGCAGCACACCAGUUAAGACCACUUCCCAAAAAUCCAGAUGAUGAUGGGCUUGAACCAGGAGAGUUGCUAUAGGGAUGUGAAGCAAUCAAAUUCUAGAUAUUUGGGACCUGCUGACAGGUACAUAAUGGUGUAUGAGAGAAAAGGCAGUGUGAGAAUGACUCUGAAGUCUGUGGCCUGAGCAAAACAGAAACCUGGAGUUGCCAAUAGCUGAGAUAAAGUUUCUGGUUAAAGAUCAAGAGCUCAGUUUUGGACAAGAGGGGUGUGAGAUUUCUAAUAGACAUUCAGGUGGAGGUGUGGGGAACACACCUGGAUGUGAUGAGCCUGGAAUUCAAAUUCACAUGUGUGAAUUUGAAAAAAGAUUCAGAAAAGAGGUGUGGACUGGAGGAGCUAUCCACACACAGAUAGCAUUUGAAGCCACAAGACUGGGGGUGAUGACGCAGGGAGUAAGUAUAAAUAGAAAAGAGAAGUGGUCCAAGGACUCAGUCCUUACAUCAGAGGUCAAAGAGACAAGAUGGAGACUAGGAGAUAUGAAGGCUUGUGCAGUGAGUGUUUCGGAGAAACGAAGAAACUUCCCAGAAGAAAGGAGAGGUCAACUGCUAACAAGUCAAGUGAAAUGAGAACUGGGAAAUGAGUUGACAAGAGCAAUUUGGCUGGCGUGAUCAGAGAAUGUUUAAGAGAUAAUGUGAGGGAAGAAAAUGGAGGCAGGAAGUAUGAACUACUCUUUUGAGUCAUAUUGUAAAGGAAAAAAAUGGGGUGAUUUUACUCUUUUUUUUUUUUAAAGAUAGGAAAAAAAAGUAUAUUUAUAUGCUGAGGAGAAGAAUCCAGUUGAAGGGGAAUACUGUGGCUUCAGGAGACAGGAAAACUGCCUAAGCCACAUCCUUCAGCAAGAUUCUAUUUCUAGUUGACCCAAAGUCAUGUCUGAGCCUUUAAGGAAAAAAAGAAAACCCUCAAGGAGAUGGUUUUAUUCUUCCUAAAUAUCCAGGUAAAUGCUUAAAAACCAUUCUACCUUCUGGCCAGAAGUAUAAGAUGGGUGGAGAGAAAGAAACUAGAGGACAAGGUAGAUUGGACAAGAAAAAGGAAAGAAAUACAAAGUUACUAAAGAAUUAUGAACAACAUAGAGGAAGGGAACUAUUAAUAAGACUUGACACUGAGAAGUCAACUGUUU